UACGAAGGGGGCUAGCGUUGCUCGGAAUGACUGGGCGUAAAGGGCGCGUAGGCGGCUUGCACAGUCAGGCGUGAAAUUCCUGGGCUCAACCUGGGGACUGCGCUUGAGACGUGUGGGCUUGAGUGGGGAAGAGGGUCGUGGAAUUCCCAGUGUAGAGGUGAAAUUCGUAGAUAUUAGGAAGAACACCGGUGGCGAAGGCGGCCCACUGGAUCGGUACUGACGCUGAGGUGCGAAAGCGUGGGGAGCAAACAGG
rnacentral:rRNA from 1 species